rnacentral:lncRNA from 1 species
CCAGGGGGUGGAGGAUGGAAGGAGAGGGAAAUAGAUUAUGUUACAAAAAGGCAACAUAAGAGAUGGUGAUUGAUAUACAAACCUCCACAUGUGAUAAAAUGGCAUAGAAUUAAAUACACGUGCACGUGCACACACACACACACACACACACACACAGAGUAAAUGUAAGACAGGAGGGAAAUCUGAUCAAGAUCUAUGGAUUGUACCAUCAAUUUCCUAGUUGUAAUAUUGCACAUACUAGAGUUUUGUAAGAUGUUACCAUUGGAAGGAAACUGUGGAUAAAAGACACAUUGUAUCUCUCUGUAUUAUUUCUUACAACCCGAUGUGAAUCUAUAAUUACCUCUAUUUAAUUAAAUUGUAAAAAGUUAAAUGGAAUCUAACUAAUAUUCUCAUGAUAUAGUUGUUAACCCUGUACAGAAAAAGAACCCAAGUAUGAAGCCAAAGAAAGAGCAGUGGUGAAGCCUGAAAAAAGCUCAAAGCGCGGGACAAAGGCAGAGCUGGAGCUGUUCCUGCACCUGUGGGUGUAUGGGGAGCAGGGGAGAGAAGGACUCAAUUAACUGAGCUUCAGGAUAAUCCAAGGUGAAGAAAAACAAGAGCUGACAAAGAAAAGAAAUGGGUGAGUCAAGACAGGCACUGGGGUCUCUUCCCACAGACCUUGGGUGGGUUCAAUGGAACCUUGAGGCCUGGGUUUAACUGGGCCUAACCCCACCCCAGGGAUGUAUGGGGGUUAAAGGGAUUAAUACUAACCUACUGACUGGUUGGAAGGGCCUGGGAGUCUGGGAAAUUAGUGGGAAAAACAAAACAGAAGGUACUUAGAGUCCCAAUCAAGACAGCAACUUUUAAUACUGAUUUCUUAAUGGCAAUUCACAGCCUUGACCUAACCAGUUCCUUAAUCCUGCUCCAGUAUACAAGCAAGUUCUACAGUGUUUGUUCCUUAAUAGCUCUUUCUGAUUAUCUAGCAUUUUGAUUCAUUUGCUGACCUUCAGAUAUUUAUUGUUGUCCUGGUUGUUUAAAGGGCACUUUAUUUAGGUAUCUUAAUUGGCCUCUUCCAGGUGUUUUCAGCUUAAACAUUCAGGUCUAUUUUUUGUCACUCCUCCUGGUGGCCCACCAGGGUAAGAUAGAUUUGGGGCAACUAAG